GAUGAACGCUGGCGGCGUGCUUAACACAUGCAAGUCGAACGAUGAAGCCCAGCUUGCUGGGUGGAUUAGUGGCGAACGGGUGAGUAACACGUGAGUAACCUGCCCUUAACUCUGGGAUAAGCCUGGGAAACUGGGUCUAAUACCGGAUAGGAGCGUCCACCGCAUGGUGGGUGUUGGAAAGAUUUAUCGGUUUUGGAUGGACUCGCGGCCUAUCAGCUUGUUGGUGAGGUAAUGGCUCACCAAGGCGACGACGGGUAGCCGGCCUGAGAGGGUGACCGGCCACACUGGGAAUGAGACACGGCCCAGACUCCUACGGGAGGCAGCAGUGGGGAAUAUUGCACAAUGGGCGCAAGCCUGAUGCAGCGACGCCGCGUGAGGGAUGACGGCCUUCGGGUUGUAAACCUCUUUCAGUAGGGAAGAAGCGAAAGUGACGGUACCUGCAGAAGAAGCACCGGCUAACUACGUG
rnacentral:rRNA from 1 species